rnacentral:tRNA from 2 species
AAGGAAGUGGCAGAGAGGCUAUGUAUCUGGCUUGAAACCGGGGUACGGGGGUUCAAUUCCCUCCUUUCUUG